CUGAUCUUCCUCCGUCCAUGCGUUUUCCGUUUUUCAACUGUCAUGUCUUCUAUUCCUUACUGCAGAUCUAGAGUAGAACCUGCAAAUACUAUGUAAAGGGAAACAAAAAUGACUUUAUUCUUCAAUCUUUGAAUUUAAAAGAAAAAAAUUGGCUAGAAAAUCCAGCUCAUUCUUUGGGAUUUUCUCCCACAUCGCUUCUUGGUUAGGGAAACUUAAUUGGUUUCAGUGAGCAGGCAGGCAGGCACGGUGUUUGUUGAAAUGCAUAAGAGAGCCUGUAUCGUGGAUCUCAAUAAUGGCAGUGUAUUUUUACAAUGAGACAUGGGAUACUGCUGCAGUUGUUUUUUAAGAGGUCUUUUUGGAGUUGUCUGGAAGGUUGUUAGUGAGGAUAGAUGUCUAAUCCAUCUUAUUUGAAAUUGCAAGAAACGCAGCUGCGAAGUUGCCCAUCUGGACAUCUGGUGAAUGGAAGUAGCACCAUCUUUGUUUUUGUUUUUUUUUUUAAUAAAUAAAUAAACUAGGGCGUCACAUAUCUCCUUGAUUUCGUACUAGCUAGAAUGUACCAUAAUCACGAGAAACAUAUGAUGUUGUGAUUAUAUUAAAUAAAUAGGUGGAAUUGGAAAAGGAUAGGGUAAUGCAUUUAGACCAUAUAUGUACGUUCUUGAUCUAGGUUCACAAUAAUACAUUUUACCAAAUUCUCUUUAAUUUGUACAACACAAUUACGCCAACAAUUUUCUAAUAAUUAAAUUCAGUUGAAGGUUUGCACCUCAAA